CGACUUGUCUGGUCUGUGCAGAAGCAAAUUUAAAAGUUUCCGCGAAAGCGGACGUUGUGUACUGCUAAUUGUUGGUGAUUAAAAGCAACGGUUGUUGUGUCAGUUUAAAAUAUCGCAUAGUGAUUUACGCUUUUUAAAAAUGUAUUAUUCAUUUUAUUUGCACCAAGAUAUGUUUUAAUUGUCUCAUUUUUGCGAAGUGGGUUAUGAUCAGGCACGACACGACGAGAACGCCGGAGGUUCGCGCAGGUCCAGUGGGCCAGGAGCAGGAUCAUUAACACUCAGCUGUUUUGCGGGAGAACCGACGAUGAAUACCCCCCUUAAGUCCUUCAACUCUCCGGAUCGCCUCUGUACUCCUCAGAAGAGCCUUGGCUUCCUGAAGGGCCGAAAACCCCGAAGAGUGCCGCUCUCUAAGGAGAAUAAUAUGGACACGGCAGCGCAGGACUCACGAACCCGGCGACGUUCUCAGUCCAUAACACCACUGAUUUCGAAGGCCCAUGACAAUUUAAUGUCGAAUUUAGACGCCAAUAAUAGCGGGUUGUCUGAGAAGGCUGUCAGUCCCAAUCUUGCCAUGUUAAAACUGACACCAGGUCCCAGUCUACAAGAGCGGCAGAAGCUGCUGCAGGAGAAGCACCAGAGAGCGAAGGAAAGUGUGGACAGUUUGGCAGUGGGAGGGGGCGUCAGUCUAUGGCCUGAAAUGAACAGCAUGCGACUCUCUGCCAAGGAGGGCAUGGUUCUGAGUUUCUCCUGCAUGGCCGUGACCCUUUCUGCAUCCCUCCUCUUCAGAUACUUACAUGGAUCCCUGCUGCACAGCAUACAACUCUACACGGCAACUGUGGACAGGUUCUCUGCAGCCCACCCAGUUAUGCGCUGCUCCCAGUCUGCCCUCAACAGCACCCUGUUUGCCUGGCAUACCCAUUUCUUACAGCUGUUGGAUGAUAUCAAGAAGCAGUUUGAAACUCAGCUUCUACAAGCACACUCUACCUAUCUGCUGUACCUCCUGCUGUAUAUUAGUGCUAUUGGCACUCUGCUAUAUUACCUGGCAGAUAACAUGAUCAAGAAAAGCAAGCUCACUCCCAGGAGGAUUAAAGUGUGGGUUCUUUUGCUUGUUGCCACGGCAUCCUGGACUUUACUGAUGCUGCGUCUGCUGGUAUCAUAUCAGCGGCUGGAACAGUCCAUAGAGGAGACAGUCCGCAAGCUUCUUGAUGAGCUGGUUCACCUUGCAACGUUGGACUUAAAUCUGAAGAUGUACCACAAUGUUGCCACCUACUGGAAGGAGCGUUGUCUGCCACCUCUAAGUAGAGGUACCCUGAGUGUGUUUGGCAUGAUGCCGGUGAGGGAGGUGUUCUACUAUCUGCACUACUACAGUGUGCCUGUCCUGACGGCCCUGUGUACCCCGAUCCUGCAGCUUCUGCUGGCUUUGAAGGAAAUGUAUAUGGGUCCAGUCAAAGCUUAUCCUAGGAGUAGAUUAAAGGGGAGCUAGCCAUGAUUGUUUCUCUAUGGCCAUGAAUUCAUUCAGCAUGCCAGUCAGAUAAAUUAACAGGAAAUGCUAUUUAAUGUCCAGAUUUGAAGAUUGUUUUCUUACAGAUUGAAGGAGAAUGCUUGAACUAAACUUGAGAACACAACAUAAUGGUUUCACAAAAAUGUUAUUGUGUCAUAUGGAUGAUUUUGUGGGUUUAGGUUACAUUAUACUUUGCAAAUCUGAUUAUUACCACAGUUAAAACCUGAAUGUUGAAAUACUAUACAUAUUAAACUAUCCUGAUAUUUGUCCUUGUUUUUAUUUAUUGCACCAGUCCAUAACAGUAAAAAAUAUUUUUAGAAUUAUAUAUUGCACAUACAACUGAAUGUAGAUUUGAAUAGUUAUUGGUCACUUUAUUUUAGAGCUUGUUACUGUUUAUUCAUGGUUUGUAUGAGUACUUGUGUUAUGUAAGAAUGACAAGAAUAAAGAAGUUCUGGG
rnacentral:lncRNA from 1 species